GAUGAACGCUAGCGGCAGGCUUAACACAUGCAAGUCGAGGGGUAACAGAGAGUGCUUGCACUCUGCUGACGACCGGCGCACGGGUGAGUAACGCGUAUGCAACCUACCUUUUACAGGGGAAUAGCCCAGAGAAAUUUGGAUUAAUACCCCAUAUUAUCUUUUAUUCGCAUGAAUUAGAGAUGAAAGUUUCGACGGUAAAAGAUGGGCAUGCGUCCUAUUAGUUUGUUGGUAAGGUAAUGGCUUACCAAGACUUCGAUAGGUAGGGGCCCUGAGAGGGGGACCCCCACACUGGUACUGAGACACGGACCAGACUCCGACGGGAGGCAGCAGGGAGGAAUAUUGGACAAUGGAGGAAACUCUGAUCCAGCCAUGCCGCGUGCAGGAUGAAUGCCCUAUGGGUUGUAAACUGCUUUUAUACAGGAAGAAACAUUUCCACGUGUGGGAACUUGACGGUACUGUAAGAAUAAGGAUCGGCUAACUCCGUGCCAGCAGCCGCCGCCGUAAGAC
rnacentral:rRNA from 1 species